ACAUCUAGAGGCUCCCCAGAGCACAAGCCCAAGGAGUACCACCGGAGGAGCAGUCAUGCCACCCACCUAGAAAAGAGCUGAGGAGAUCCGCAGACGGGGGCUCACCCAGCAGCCAUGGUGCAGAAGCAACAGGGCGGUGCUGCGACGAGCCCGCAGGCUCCGCCGGCAACCGGCUACACCAGAGCAGACCGAGCCCUGGGCUGAGAGACCCGAGAUGGAGGGCCCUCCACACCCCGGAAAGGGCCCGACUGAGCCUUGGGGGCCCGCCAAGCAGCCGCCGGUUUCGGAGACGUCUGUUCCCCACCAGCUCGAUAGCUAGCCAGGAGCUCGAGGAUUCCAUGAGAUGAACCUAGUGAACCGAGGUGCAGUAAUCUCGACGUACCUCUGUUCAGGUUUAGACACAAUGAAGCAUGCCUCAAAAACUAUUUAGCCAAUUUAUCAUAUGAACAGUGGAUGGCAUUAGCCACUGAUGACGUCACCUCGGAUGUCGUUAAUUUGCUGACCAACAUGUGCCAAGCACUCAUAGGGCACAUUAGCACCUUAGUGUUUCAAGGCAUAGAACCACAGGUUUCAUGCUGCCCACAUAUUCAUUAUCCCAGAGACAAAGAAAUCCCCCCUUACAGGUAAACAGUUUGAUUCAUUCUUAAUUUCUUCUUCUUAAAUAAUCUACAUUAGAUGAUUCAUUAGGUAAUCCUUGUGACGGAGAGGGUUUUUGUGAAAAGAUUUUGUUUAUUAUUCAAAUAUGCUUUGCUUGUGAUUGUGUAAACUCUGAAUGACGAUUCACCCUGAUAUGCUUUGCUUGUGAUUGUGUAAACUCUGAAUGACGAUUCACUCUGA